AAGUCGUAACAAGGUUUCCGUAGGUGAACCUGCGGAAGGAUCAUUACCUGGCCUUGGGCCGCUCGCGGGGGCUCGCUCCCGGGGGUGCUUAGCCCUUGACCUUCACCUUGACUAUGCGCACCUUUGUUGUUCCCUCGGCAGGUCUCCUGCCGCCAGGGACCCCAAAACCCUUUAGUAUUAGCAUUAAACUUCUGAAAACAAACCUAAUUAUUUACAACUUUCAACAAUGGAUCUCUUGGUUCUG
rnacentral:misc_RNA from 1 species